CACGUAGUUAGCCGGGGCUUCUUAGUCAGGUACCGUCUUUUUUCUUCCCUGCUGAUAGAGCUUUACAUACCGAAAUACUUCUUCACUCACGCGGCGUCGCUGCAUCGGGGUUUCCCCCAUUGUGCAAUAUUCCCCACUGCUGCCUCCCGUAGGAGUUUGGGCCGUGUCUCAGUCCCAAUGUGGCCGUUCACCCUCUCAGGCCGGCUACUGAUCGUCGCCUUGGUAGCCGUUACCCCACCAACCAGCUAAUCAGACGCGGGCUCAUCUUAUACUACCGGAGUUUUUCACACAGAAACAUGCGUCCCCGUGCGCUUAUGCGGUAUUAGCAGUCAUUUCUAACUGUUAUCCCCCUGUAUAAGGCAGAUUACCACUGUUACUCACCCGUCGCCGCUAAGUCAAUUUCGAUUCCACUUCCGAAAAUUUCCUACAAAACUACGCUUCGCUCGACUUGCAUCGUGUUUAAGGCAGCCCGCCAGCGUUCACUACCUUGACGCCAGGAUACAAAACUCGUA
rnacentral:rRNA from 1 species